AAGUUGAACAUUUUUCCGUAGGUUUGCCUUUUGCAACGACAUGAAUGGACCUUGAGAAUAUUAUGCUAAUCAAAGUAAGUCAGUCAGAAAAAGCUAAGAACCACAUGACUUCACUCGUAUGUGGGAUAUAAGACUGAAACUCAUAGACACAGACAAUAGUAUGGUGGUUACCAGAGGAAAGAGGGUUGGGGAAGUAGUAGAGAGGUAAGGGACCCAAUAUACAAUGAUGGAAGACGGUUUGACUUUGGGUGGUGGGUAUGCAACGCAAUAUACAGAUCACAUAUUAUAGAAAUGUGCACUUGAAAGGCAUAACCUUAUUAACCACUGUCACCUCAAUAAAUUUAAUUU